rnacentral:rRNA from 1 species
UACGUAGGGGGCAAGCGUUGUCCGGAAUCAUUGGGCGUAAAGCGCGUGUAGGCGGCCAGGUAAGUCCGUUCUGAAAGCCCGGGGCUCAACCCCGGGAGGCGGAUGGAUACUGCUUGGCUCGAGUCCGGAAGAGGCGAGUGGAAUUCCCGGUGUAGCGGUGAAAUGCGCAGAUAUCGGAGAGAACAGCCAUAGGCGAAGGCAGCUGCGGCUGGGACGGUA